rnacentral:tRNA from 1 species
UGGCUCAGUGGGUAAGAGCACUGACUGCUAUUCCAGAGGUCCUGAGUUCAAUUCCCAG